CACAACUCUAGGAUACAAUGCAUAGCACUGCUUGGAAUAUGCUAUCUUUAGAGCUCAGGUUACAUUUUCUAUUUCCUUGGUUUGGAAAAAGAAGAAACUGCAGGAAAAGAAAAGGAGAAGGCAGCUAAGGCUCCUUCUGUAAACUGUGAGUAGUUUAUCACAUCCUAGGAUAAUUCAGGUGGGAAAGUACCUCAGGAGGUCUGUACAACCUCUAGCUCAAAGCUGGGUCAACCAUGAGGGCAGAGCUGACCACUCAAAGCUUUAUUCCACGUAGUCUUGGAAACCUCUGAGACAGAGAUGGCACAAUCUCUCUGAGCAACCUGUUCCACUGCUUGCUGUCCUCAUGGUGAAAACGUUCCUGCAUAUAUGCAGUUUGAGCCUCCCCCGUUUCAGCUGAUGACUACUCUCCCAUCAUGAAGAGCCUGGCUCUGUUCUCUUGAUGACCACCCUAUGGCCCUUUUCCUCCCUCAUUUCCAUUAUUAAAGUGAUUUUUUUUCAGUUUUAUGGUCUCUAAUGUAUUUGUCUUUGGGUGCCAGGAAACUGUCAAUACCUCAGUUUUUAGAGGUAGAGAACCUCUCUUGGCUAAGUGAAUUUAUUAAAUCAUUUUGAUGUCCUGUUGACCUGACAGUAAGGUCUAACUCAGUUCCAGGUUCAGACACCUAAAUUUGGGUUUCUUCAUUGUGGCUGCCUUCAUGUGAAGUGAG
rnacentral:lncRNA from 1 species